rnacentral:tRNA from 1 species
AAGGCCCUAGCUUAAUUAAAGUAUUUGGGUUGCAUUCAAAAGAUGUGGGGUAGUGUCCCGCGGGUCUUA